ACGACAGUGGAUUUAUGUGGGGCCUUUCUCUGUGGGCCUCUCAUAGUGCAUUUACGUCGCAGUAAACAGCAGCCUCAAACUAUUGCCCAGCUUCCUUACCUGUGGGCUGUGAGCCCUGACAGGGAUGGUAAAGUG